CGAAAACUCUUAGAACGUGAUACCCAACCAACACAAAAGAAAACACUGUAUACAUCCAUAUAAAUGGAAACCUCAACCUCAGCAGCUCAGCAGAAGAGGAAUCCCAAAGCCAGAGCGGUCAAGGAGGCAGCAACAGCAGCAGCAGGGUAGAGACGGCAGCACCGGAGGUCGGACUAAGCGCCGGUGCCUCGACAGCCGUAACCCUCUCAACAGCAGAGCCCAACAUGAGCACAGCCAUGACGGCGAUGACGGAGAACCGAAGCUUCGAUGUUGCCUCCAUUGAUGGAAUGAAAGGUUCUACGAAUCUACUUCUG
rnacentral:misc_RNA from 1 species